rnacentral:snoRNA from 1 species
CCCCUCUCAGGGUCACACAUGGAGAAUUUCCAGUACUCUACCAGUCUCGGCUACAGGAGGGAGAGUCAAGCAGAGGCCUACUCAUUCCAUUCCUAGCUUGGGCGGUGGCUAGUGAAUGGAAAAUAAUCUAUUACAAGU